CCCACGUUCGGAUCGCAGGCUGCAACCCGCCUGCGUGAAGUUGGAAUCGCUAGUAAUCGCGGAUCAGCAUGCCGCGGUGAAUACGUUCCCGGGCCUUGUACACACCGCCCGUCACACCAUGAGAGUCGGGAACACCCGAAGUCCGUAGCUUAACCGCAAGGGGGCGCGGCCGAAGGUGGGUUCGAUAAUUGGGGUGAAGUCGUAACAAGGUAAC
rnacentral:rRNA from 1 species